GGCGCUAUAGUGUAGUGGUUAUCACUCGGGAUUUUGAUAUAUUGUCAAUAUUCCCGAAACCCAGGUUCGAACCCUGGUAGCGCCU
rnacentral:tRNA from 1 species